rnacentral:lncRNA from 1 species
GACUGGGCCGAAGCAGGGGCGGCGCAACAUAGCUAAAUCACGCGUCGGCAAGGAUUAACGGGCGCUCGGGGUGAGCUCAUCGAGUGGGCUCGGCCCAUGUCGGUGGACCGCCGGUGCAGGCUGGUCGGGGCUGCUGGGCCGGGAGCCCGUUGAGGAGGCCGCUCGAGAAGGCUGGCGUGGCCGGGCCUGGGCAGCGCGGCCCAGGCGAAGCGCUGGAGCGGGCGAGGGCGCACGAGGCGGUAAACAC